rnacentral:rRNA from 1 species
UACGUAGGGGGCAAGCGUUAUCCGGAAUAACUGGGUGUAAAGGGUGAGUAGGCGGUUACUUAAGCCAUAUGGUAAAGCCCCGUGCUCAACAUGGGAAUUCAUAAGGAACUGGGUAGCUAGAGUACAGGAGAGGUAAGCGGAAUUCCUAGUGUAGCGGUGAAAUGCGUAGAUAUUAGGAAGAACACCAGUGGCGAAGGCGGCUUACUGGACUGAAACUGACGCUGAGUCACGAAAGCGUGGGGAGCAAACAGG